rfam:Ciona savignyi cont_2394, whole genome shotgun sequence.
GCCUCUAUAGCUCAAUGGCAGAGCACUGGUAUCGUAAACCAGGGGUCGUGAGUUCAAUCCUCACUGGAGGCA